UUUUAGACAUUUUACAAAGUAUGAGGGGUUUAAGGCAACAGGCCUAGAUUUAUCAGUACUCGCACGCACCGCAUCGCACAGUUCUCAAUGAUCCGGCCUCCGUCGAUGGCUUGCCGGCUGCUCACGGGGAAAACUCAGCCGGUGUUUGCCGCUUCUCUUAUACCGCGUCUGGGAACCCGACGGAGCUUUCGAUCGGACGCAGCGCUCGAUGCCAUAGAGAAGGCGUUGGAGGAGAGAGUGCCAAACGUGGUAUUGUACAAUUAUCCUUCCUUCUCCGGAGCUUACUCCGCUCUCUUCGUUCAUCUCUACCACGCUCGUCUCAGUCUUCCAUGCCUUGUCCUGCCUUUCUCUUCCUUCGUUCCCUUUCGGGCUGAAGAUCUUUGUGCGGAGGGGUUUGAGAGGUUUUAUAUUCUGGAUUUUAUUGGUCCUAAAGGUUUUGUCUCCGAGCUUUGUCGGAAAACAGCUGCCGAGAUCAUCUGUUUCGAUCACCGGAAAUCAGCACUUUCACGGAUUUGCGCUGAAGAAUGGGAUACAAGGUGUGUCAAAACUAGUGUUGAUACCGAAAAGAGUAGCUCGAAAGCUGUGUACGAUUACUUCUCUAGUAAACUGACAGAUCGGGGCCUUACGAGUUUAUUAGAAACGGAAGACAGGAGUGGUGUUGAAACAGUCCUUGACUAUAUCGAAGACAUGGAUCUUCGACGAUGGAGCUUGCCAGAUGUUAAGGCUUUCAGUGUUGGAAUCAAGGAGUGGCUCUCAAGGAUCAACUGCAUCACUAAUCCUUACAUGUUUGAACAGUUGUUGAAAAUAAGCCCUACGGAUCUCAUUACUUGUGGGAAUUCGUAUUUAUCAUCUCGUCAGCUUGCUGCCAGUAGAUUGUUGGAAUUGAAUAAAAUUUUCAAAGUCAGAUUAGGAAGAGGAUUCUAUGGGGAGUGCCUGGGAAUGCGGGCAGAUGGCAGCCAUCAUUUAAGCGACGAACUUGGCAAGCUACUUAGCUUACAAAGUGCUGCAGCUGGUCUUAGGCCAAUAGGAGCGGUCACAUUCAUGCAACGGAACAAUCUUAAGAUGUGUUUGAGGAGUACUGAGAACAAAACUGAUACCUCCGAAGUAGCAAAGGCAUAUGGAGGAGGUGGAUCCCCAAGUUCCAGUUCUUUCAUGAUUAGGAUGGAUGAGUACAAUCAGUGGGUUUCAACGGAUUGAUUCUUCCCCCAUUAUAGACCUCCUCCCAUGACCUUCACAGGCUGCACCGGCGGCGGAGGCAGAGCUACUUCUUUCUCCGAUCCAAACGGGAUAUGCAUUAUUCGGAGGAGCGGGUACGGACUUUCUUCGAUUCCGGCCGAGGUGGAAUAGAGUCCCGGGACUCGACGAAACAACCCCGGUCCGAUUUGUCGAGUCUUCGGAGCCAAACCCACCAGAAGAUUCCCACAAACAUAUUUUAUGUUUCUUAUGGUUUAUGUGCGUUCAUGUACUUCGAGCGGAUUAAUGGAAAAUACAAGUAUCUACCCCAAGAGAAGAGAGGAACCUUAUCAAAACACCGGUUCAAAUCAAUCCGAUUCAACCAGCAAACCGAACCGGAUGCGGGAACCGGAACCGGAACCGGACAAUGUUUCCGCUUGGAAGCAACCGCUGUCGUAGCGGAAAACCAGACAUUAUUGGCGAUGUUGAAUUUAGAAAGAAUAUCGAUGUUCCGAUAUCAUCAAAGGCCAA